AUGUAUAGAGAUUUCUUAUAAUUAUUUGACAGCUUCAAGAUAACCAGUUUUUUCUUUAAACAUUCCACUGAUUAAUACAAAAAGUAACAUUUUUUUCAUGAGAUGAAAUGAAACUUGUUCUUAGGCAAACAUCACUUAAUUAAAGCAAUUUAUAGUGAAUACACUCAAUUAACUGAUUAUGAACCUGCAACACCAAAAGAUUUACCAGAUUUGUUCACAAUUUUACUGCUAGCUGAUAUCAAAUAAGAAAAAGACAAAUCAAUGUUAUAUCUUCAGGAACUAAUAACUUUUUUCAUCCUGCAAGUUUGUGAAUUCAAAAAAACUAUUUUCAAAUAACUAAGAAUUUUUUUAUUAUUAUACUUUAAGUUUUAGGGUACAUGUGCACAACUUGCAGGUUUGUUACAUAUGUAUACCUGUGCCAUGUUGGUGUGCUGCACCCAUUAACUCGUCAUUUAACAUUAGGUAUAUCUCCUAAUGCUAUCCCUCCCCCCUCCCCUGACCCCACAACAGGCCCAGUGUGUGAUGUUCCCCUUCCUGUGUCUAUGUGUUCUCAAUGUUCAGUUCCCACCUAUGAGAACAUGCAGUGUUUGGUUUUUUUGUCGUUGCAAUAGUUUGCUGAGAAUGAUGGUUUCCAGCUUCAUCCAUGUCCCUACAAAGGACAUGAACUCAUCAUUUUUUAUGGCUGCAUAGUAUUCCAUGGUGUAUAUGUGCCACAUUUUCUUAAUCCAGUCUAUCAUUGUUGGACAUUUGGAUUGGUUCCAAGUCUUUGCUAUUGUGAAUAGUGCCGCAAUAAACAUACGUGUGCAUGUGUCUUUAUAGAAGCAUGAUUUAUAAUCCUUUGGGUAUAUACCCAGUAAUGGGAUGGCUGGGUCAAAUGGUAUUUCUAAAAGAACUAAGAAUUUUUAAAAAGAUUUUGGUUAUGUAAUUAGAGUGCACAAUAGAAUAAAACAGCCAGGUUUUAUAUUUUCACUGGCAAAUGAUAAAGAGACAACUUUGAUUAAAUACUCAUAAUUUUUAUAAAACCUCCAAAGUUUCAAAGUAGGUAGAUGAUGGGUAAUAAUUAAAUAGAGUGACAGUGUUAUAUGCCAGGUUAAAAAAAAAAGAGACAUGCGGCUUCAUCCACAAGCUUAGCAAAAUAUGAGAAAGUAAGAAACUGUGGCCAAAUCAGAUAAACAUAAAUGAGAAUAAGUUGUAGAAACUGACCUUCAAGUUAAUAAUUAAAUCAGAUGGUAUCAUUUUCCUCCAUCUGGUUAUUAUUGUUUAGAUUUUUAAUAGUACAAAAAUAAAUGUUUUAUGAAUUAUUUUGGAUGCAAUUACAGUAAAUAACCAUAAUAUAAAAUGUCUCAUAAUAGGAAAAUAAUGCCUGACACUUUUAAUUACUUAACAUACCUUUUUAUACAUUUUUUAAUGUCAUUUAUUUGGCAGCUAUUUAAGGAGUGCCCUCUGUAUCCUGGGCCAUCUCUUUCUAUCCAGAGUCCUACAAGUCACCUUGUAUCAUUAUUAGGAUAUAGUAUAAAAAUUUGUCCACUUUUAAAUGGAGAAAUAAUA
rnacentral:lncRNA from 1 species